GGCAGUGUAGAGCUUUAUGCUGAAAAGGUGGCUACAAGAGGUCUGUGUGCUAUUACCCAGGCAGAGUCUCUGCAUUACAAACUCCUAGGAGGCCUUGCUGUGCGGAGGGCCUGCUAUGGUGUGCUGCGGUUCAUCAUGGAGAGUGGGGCCAAAGGCUGUGAGGUCGUGGUAUCUGGGAAACUCCGAGGACAGAGGGCUAAAUCCAUGAAGUUUGUGGAUGGCCUGAUGAUUCAUAGUGGGGACCCUGUUAACUACUACGUUGACAUUGCUGUGCGCCAUGUGCUGCUCAGACAGGGUGUGCUGGGCAUCAAAGUGAAGAUCAUGCUUCCCUGGGACCCAAGUGGUAAGAUUGGCCCUAAGAAGCCCCUGCCGGAUCAUGUGAGCAUUGUGGAACCCAAAGAUGAGAUACUGCCCACCACCCCCAUCUCCGAACAGAAGGGUAGGAAGCCAGAGCCUCCUGCUAUGCCACAGCCAGUACCCACAGCGUAACAGGGCCUCUCCGGCAGCUGGAUCUGGAGACUGGAUUUCAAUCCGUGAAGACCUUUAAUAAAAUCUUUGAGAAAGAUAAAAAAAAAA